GCUGAAGUAUCUCAGCUGGGAGAGCAUUAAACUGAUAAUCUAAAGGUCCUCGGAUCGAUCCCGAGUUUCGGCA